UCUGCAUGGUGUUUUGGGAAACGCAUGUUACAUCUUCGGCCGUUGUAGGAAAGAUGCAUCGUUAAAACACUCGUAAACCUAAGUUCAAUUGCUAUUGGGAAACCGGGCCCAGGUCAAUAGGCUCUUAGCCCUUCCAGUUCUGUUGCUGUACUUAGCCUACCUGACAGCCAACAAACCCCUCUUACUAUGGCUAUUCCAGACACAGCCACUCCCACAGCCUGACACGUACUGAUGAGUGAUACUGCUUAUUUAUCAACAUGAUCUGAUUUUAACAACUUUUCGCAAUCCGUGAAGUCUCUUCUUCAGGGAGACAAAGAUUCUUAUGAUUUUACACUGGCUUCGUACUGCUCAAACAUAACACUGCAACCCUUUCAAAUGUGCCGUUUUGUCCCAGUCGAUCAGAACAGCCUUCUCUAAACCAACUGCACUAAGUGCUAUGAUCAAACCCAAAACAAUCCACCAAGGGAUACCUGCCCCUUGCCUUCUGCAGUAGCCUUGCCCUCCCAGUCCCAGCCAUGUACCAUACACAGUGUUGUUGCUUUGCCUCUGAACAUGUUGCUGUCUUGACUCCGCAUUUGAUCCCCACCAGGUUGACUCAGGAUUGUGACUCAGAUCGAGUAACCUAGAGAGCGGACCUAGAGAGCGGAGAGAAAGGCUGGACAAAAAAAAAAAGUAUGGUCUGGCCUUUCACUCUGUCCGUACGAUCUGCAGUGUGUGCUCACCUCAGUCGCUCGCUCUCUCGUCAGUCUGGCCCGAUGCCCAAGUUCAAAACAGACCGCCUCGUGUGUCAGGAAAAAACAUCCUCUCACACACACUGAGAGGGAGAGAACGAACACUAAACGCUCAAACCACACAAACCAAAAAAAGAAAGAGAGCGCUUUGGUCAAAGGGGAAUAGAGAGAGGUCUACCUGUCUCUCUCUACCCCGACCUCUCUCUCUCCCUCCCUCUCUUGGUCUGUCGUUCAGCAGAAAAACGGAUCGAUAAAGAGUUGAAGCUCUUCGCACCAAGUGACUCCUUGUAAAUGGGUACUUUUCUGUGGGGUGAAAUGGAGAAAACCUAACCAACUCUUUGUUUAAAGGUAGAAAAUUAAAGUUCUGUCUAAAUGGAUCUAUCUGUCUGAUGAAGCGUAAAGUACUCUGUAACCUUAACAAAAUUACCAUCACUAUGUUCCCAUUGUUUUAAAGGGCCUUCCUUUCCUUGUCGCUCUCAGCAAGUCCAUGUUUCACAAGUAGGGAGGAAGGAACAGUCAUUUAACAGUAUGGGGACAUUGUGUAGUAGGUGUUGAUGUCACAGUCCCCACACAGUAUAAUGACCCAUGUCGCUAGACUUGUACAUUGCAAAAGUGCACAAUUGUUACAGUUUUACUCAGUUUAUGAUUUAGCUGACAUGUUUUACCAUAUUGACAAUUGACAGGGGUAUUAUGCAGUCCUGGUAACUUUCAGAUGUUAUUGGUUUGAAGCUGACUUUCAGUGACAGUUUCCUCUCAGAGCAGUACAGUGCUUAGUCCGCAGCACAUCCUGUUGUAGCUGAUUUGACACCCUGCUGGCAGGGAGAGAUAAAUGUAUCUCCUAGGACAGGGUUUCCCAAACUUGGUCCUGGGGACUCCAAGGGGUGCAUGUUUUGGUUUUUGCCCUAGCACUACAUGGCUCAUUCAAAUAAUCAACUCAUCAUCAAGCUUUGAUUAUUUGUAUCAGCUGUGUAGUGGUAGGGCAAAAACCUAAACGUGUACCCCUUGGAGUGCCCAGGACCGUGUUUGGGAAACCCUGCCCUAGGGACAAACCAUGUAUUUUCUAAUACGAAAUGCCCACAAAUUGACAAAUUAGACUAGCGGUAUCUCUAUUUCCUGAAAUGAUCCAUGAUUUUACAUGCAGAAACAUCUCCCCAGAAUAACAAUGUGGAGAUGUUGGUGAGACGUUGGAGUAGUCAUGAGUGAAGGCAAUCCUUGAACUGUUUUUGACAACAUGUCAGAUUAUGGGGCUGUAUGCUGUAUGCGUCUUAUUGUUCUCUAUCAAACUCAUUGACAAAUGUCCUAAGAGCUGCUGUACCAAUAGAGACAGAAAUGUUCCUUGUACCAUAACUUUGCCUCCUGGAAGAAAAAAAAAACAUUUCAAACAC